rnacentral:rRNA from 1 species
AUGGGCGAAAGCCUGACGCAGCAACGCCGCGUGGGUGAAGAAGGCUCUCGGGUCGUAAAGCCCUUUUGUUGGGGAAGAAGUUCUGACGGUACCCAACGAAUAAGCCUCGGCUAACUACGUGCCAGCAGCCGCGGUAAUACGUAGGAGGCGAGCGUUAUCCGGAUUCAUUGGGCGUAAAGAGCGCGUAGGCGGCCCGUUAAGUCAGUUGUGAAAUCUCCUGGCUCAACCAGGAGAGGUCAACUGAUACUGGCAGGCUUGAGGGCAGCAGAGGGAGGUGGAAUUCCCGGUGUAGCGGUGAAAUGCGUAGAGAUCGGGAGGAACACCAGUGGCGAAGGCGGCCUCCUGGGCUGUUUCUGACGCUGAGGCGCGAGAGCGUGGGGAGCAAACAGGAUUAGAUACCCCGGUAGUCCAAGCCG